rnacentral:rRNA from 1 species
GAUGAACGCUGGCGGCGUGCCUAAUACAUGCAAGUCGAGCGAACGGACGAGAAGCUUGCUUCUCUGAUGUUAGCGGCGGACGGGUGAGUAACACGUGGAUAACCUACCUAUAAGACUGGGAUAACUUCGGGAAACCGGAGCUAAUACCGGAUAAUAUUUUGAACCGCAUGGUUCAAAAGUGAAAGACGGUCUUGCUGUCACUUAUAGAUGGAUCCGCGCUGCAUUAGCUAGUUGGUAAGGUAACGGCUUACCAAGGCAACGAUGCAUAGCCGACCUGAGAGGGUGAUCGGCCACACUGGAGCUGAGACACGGUCCAGACGCCUACGAGAGGCAGCAGUAGGGAAUCUUCCGCAAUGGGCGAAAGCCUGACGGAGCAACGCCGCGUGAGUGAUGAAGGUCUUCGGAUCGUAAAACUCUGUUAUUAGGGAAGAACAUAUGUGUAAGUAACUGUGCACAUCUUGACGGUACCUAAUCAGAAAGCCACGGCUAACUACGUG